ACUCUCUUGCUUUCUCUGUCGCAUGCACUCUCUUGCCUUUCCACCUAGUUUCCAUGUUAUGAUGCAGCAAGAAGGCCCUUGCCAGAUGUGGCUCCUGGAUUGUGGACUUUUCAGCCUCCAGAACUGUGAGCCAAACAAACUUCUUUUGUUCAUAACUUCCCCAGUCUGUGAUAUCCUGUUACAGCAGCAGAAAAUGGACUAAGACACCCAGGAUGUACCUGGAACCUGGAAAAAGGGGCAGAUCUGCAUCACGGGCUUGCAUGUCCAAUUUCACCUUGGCACUUGCUUCUCCGAGGGCCUGGACAUGGGGCUUCGUUUGAGUCUGGAAGCAGUGGAGAGGGGCCAGAAGCUCCAGACCUUGGCUUGGAGAUCUCUACAGGUGUGCAUGGAGAUGUUUGAAGUGCUAAUGGCUGAGACAGAGCAAGUGGCAGAGGCCUAGGAGACGGAGGCUGAAAGAGUCUGAGGAGGAAAGGAGGCACUGAGGGACUCACAUGAAGCUACUCUGUCAGCAUUCUAAAACUUCUGACAUUCUUUUCUAUGAAGAUAAUUGAAUCACCAAAUUUGAUGAAAUGUUCCCCAAAUAUCAGGUAACAGAUUUUCUGUGGGGGUCUAUGGAUACACUUUAAAGUCAAGGAGAAAAUUUUUGGAUUGUUUUCCAGCGUGGACUAUUUCUUCACUGACAAGGAUUUAAAAACAAUAAAGCAUUGUACAUCGACAGAAAACAUGACACAUGUGGACCUUUCUGUAGAAGAACACAUUGCAAUCUGAAAAUCUAGAGAAUAUAAACUUGUCUUGAACAUUGUCCAAGAAAUUUUACUUAACAAAUUACUGAAGAGUCUGAGUCAUUCCAUGUUAGAGCAUAUCUUUGGUGAUACUCUUAUAGUAAGGCUUAAGAGCAUUAUAGUAACAGUAAAAAUGUUGUACUAUUUUUGUAAGAAGUUCUGUCCCAUUUCUGGGAUUAGUAAUGUGUGUGGGUCACUGAGUAUUUGUUGGAUACAUUCUUAAAUUGAGUUAAAUUUCUGCAGGUGUAGUCCCUUACAGAUAUUCCUAUUCAAAAUUUUUCUUCCCAUUAAAAACAGCAUUAGGGACCUUAGUGUACAGGGAUCUACAUUUAAAAACACAGGAAAGGAAAAGUGAAAAUGUUUUGAGUUCACGUUAUUGGGAUUAAGGCAGAGAAAAUGUGAGAAAGGCAAUAUUUGAUGAAAUAAUGCCUGGUGACUUCCCAGAAUUAUUGAAAAGUAUGAAUCCUCAGAUUUAAGAAUAAUAAUAAUCCCAAAGCAAGAUAAAUAAAACAAAUCUAUAUCUACACACAUCAUAGUGUCUUCAAGAUCUGAAGGAAGAGAUAAAAGCAAGUUGCUGCACAUACUCUAAGGUUCUCAACUUCUAAUGACCUAUCCAGAAAGCAAGUAAACAAACAUGUAGAUUCCUGGGCCCUACCACUUUAAGAUUCAGAUUCAGUUGAUCUAGGGUGAAGUCUAAGAGCUACAUUGCUAACCAACUCCAUAGGCCACACUUUUGGGCGGCACUCAAUGAGUGUAAGAGCAGACUUCUCAACAUCAGCAGUAGAGGCCCUAAGAUGGAAAAUAAUAUUUUCAAAAUGCUGAAAGAAAAUAAUUAUCUAAUUGGUAAAAUACACUUGGCUAAAAUUGCAUUUAAGAAGGAGAGUAAAAUGAGAUAUUUUUGGACAACUAAGUAUUAAGGGUUUAUUACAAACAGAUCCUCAGAAAGGAACUUCUAAAGGACUUACUUUAGGAAGAAGAAGAAAUAAACAAAGAAUGUGUCUGAGAUUCAACAAGGAUUGAUGAGCAAAGGGUUAAUGUGUGGGUACAUCUAAAAUGUUGAGCCUAUUUAAUAUUUACUUUUGCAGGUGAAAAAAUGAAAUUAGUAUUAGAAAUGUGGUAAAAAUAUCUGGUGAGCUAGGUAAUUUUAGGUAAAGCUUUCUAAGAGCCUUUGUUUCUUAGAGAUAUUUUAUUUCUUAGGUAGAGCUUUUAUUUCUUAGAGAUAUUGAUUAAUUUUUAGUUAUAUAUGAAUAUUAGCUUAUUAAAGUUUAUUCCUAAAGGAAUAAGAAUAGAAUGAAUAACUUUCAAAAUUUUGAAAUUAAAAGGUUAAAAAAUAGAAUCAAUC